CAGAAUCCAGUCAGCCCUAUAGUUUUCAGUCUGUAAUGACAGCGACGUGACAUUUCUUUUUACUUCUUUAUUGUUGUAAGUAAAAUAUCGUAUUAAUAUCAUAAUAGCUACAUUGUUAAUCGACUAACCCUCGCGUUAAAACUGCUCGUCAAAACCACCUUUUUACCACGGAGGAGACGACUCACGCCAUGUCCCGCCGACUGGACUGCUAGCACGAUUCCUGAGCGCGGUGAAAAGAAGAUGGACCAUUUUCUGUGUUCACCAUUCAGGCAGAAGACUCUACCAUUGCAGUC